CCACUCCCUCACCACGCGGCCGCCGCCCCACCCACGCCCCGUGCUCGGCGCCGGCGCCGGCGCGGGACUCCCCUCGCCUCCGUCCGCUCUCCCCGAGUCACCUCCGUCGUCGUACGCCCUCCACCCGCCGCCGCCGACGUCGUCCGUCCUCCCCCCGCUCUCCGUUGCCUCUCCUUGCAGGCCGUGCGACGGCGCGGCUCGUGGCCUCGUCUCCGGUGCCACCGUAGCUAGAUCUGGCCCUCCCACGGCUGGAUCUAGCUCCGCCGCCGCUGGAUCUAGCGGCCGGAGGAGACGGCGCGACGGAGGAGGAUGGCCGCGAUAGCUUCGGACGACGAAGCGGCGGAGGCCGACAGGUGCGGCACCAUCGUCCGCCUUCCCCGCGAGGGGUUCCGCUGCCGCCACCGUCACCCGUCGCCUCCGCAUGCCCACACACACCACGAUCUGCCGCCGGUGCCUCCUCCCUCCUUACCCCUCCCCUUGUGGUGACGUCAACGGGACGGAAGGCGGACGCGUCCAUCAAGGCUUGAGGUGGCGGCGGAGCUGACCACGCGACCGCCGCCCGUCGGAGCCGGUACUCCCUAGCCCCUUCUUCAUGCGCCACCGCCGCCUCCUCGUUCUUCCCUAGCCGUCGUCACCGCCCGUACUCUUCAUCUCCCCAAUGCCGCCGCUUCCUCUCUUUUGCCCUGUCGUAUAGCAGGCCAAACGGGCGGCCCGGCCCAGCACGGCAUGGCACACUGACGGCACGGCCCACUAGGGCACGGCCCGUUAGGCACGGCUCCUAUAGCGGGCCGUGCCGUGCUGGCCCACGUGCCAAGGCCUCGGCCCAAGCACGGCCCAAGGAGGUGCUGGGUCGUGCCGGGCCGGCACGGCUACUGUAGUGGACCGUGGGCUGGUAGCCGGCCCACUAGUACAUGUGGCCCAUAAAAAUUGAAAUUUGAGGGGAAAAAAGAAAAAAAAGACAGAAAAAACAUUAUAAAUAUAGGAUAAAUGUGAGGAAAAUUUAGGAAAUAUAUCAUAAAAUAUAUGGUACAAAUAGGAUAAAAUGUGGAAAAAAAUAAAAAAUAUGAGAAAUAUAUGGGAAAAAUUAGAAAAUCGUAGGAAAAAUAAAUGGGUCGGUGGGCCGUGCCAUUCCGGCACGCUAAAGUAAACGUGCCGUGCCGUGCUGGCCUACGGGCUGAGGCGUCGGCCCAAACACGGCACGGGAUAACGGGCCGUGCUGGCACGGCCCACAGGCUGGCGUGCCGUGCCGGGCCUUGGCCGGCUACAGUACUGCCGUGCUCGGGCCGGCCCGGCUUGGCACGGCCCAUUUGGCCAGGUAUACCCUCUCGCCUCGCUCGGUGGGGUGUCGGAUUUGACGAGCAAGGUCAGCGGCGAGGAGCAGGGCCAGCGGAUGUGGCAAGGUGGCGAAGGCCUCAGCAGCCGGCGGUGGGCGCUCAAAGCGGACGAAAGCGAGGCCGCCGGCGGCCCCAUCAACCGCCCUACCCACCACCCCUAACCCCCCGCGCCAUGUCGUCCUCCCGCUCAGGUGCCUAUUUCCACCCCCCCCCCCCCCCAACACCCGUGCCUCCUGCCGCCGUCGCUCCCACCCCACCACCGGCGGUCCUCUUCCUCCCGGUCGACGUUGCUAGCCGAUGCCCCUUCUACCUGACGACCCUAUGGCUGCAGUCUGUACCGUCCCAUAUUCUUCCAGCCAAGGUGGCACCCAUCCUCCGCGCCGACGCUGAGCCGUCCUCGGGGAAUGCCGGAUCUGGCACCUUGUCGCCGGAUUGGCCCCGGUCUAGGGCCGGACGAUUGCAACUCGCUGUGGCUCAAGUUUUGUUGUCGGCUCUUCCUCCUUCCGAACCGACGGACGCAUUGGUUGGAUGACAGCAGACAUCAGCCCAUGAUUAAGCGUUGCGGGCGGCGACGACGACCUUGCUGUAUCUGUGUUAUGGUGUUUUGCCACACUUGACUUUAUUAUUAACCAGAUCUACAGUCCUUGACAAUACUCCUACUUCGAAGCAUUCAUUGGAUGAUCGCAGACCCUUGAUCAGUAAGCAACCGAUUUAUGGCUUGUGGUUGCUGCUUGAUCUCCUCACCUCUCUUGCAGGGGUAAGAAAAAGCAAUGUACGAAGCACCAUAAAAGGUAAGGAGGUGCUCCAUGUAAGGACUUUGGAGUUGCUGGCAUAGCAGAGAAUUGAAUGACUCUGCUUUUCUAAGUGCAAGCAAUUGUGUUCUUUGGGUUUUAUACUAAUUCUCAAACUUGAUGAUAUUGGGCUGGUCGCCUCUAUAUUUGCUAACUCAAUAGAGCCCUUUUCCGUUAUAGCAUCUUUACUUUCCAAAUUUUUUAAUUUGUAAUUUCUUUUUAUAUGAGCAAUUGGUACUAUGAAUGUACGAGACAUAUGGUCCUACAUCCUGUAUGUCUGGGGAACGGGAAUUGGUUGGGAAAAAAAGUUACCAUGUGGACUUAUUUUUUGUUAGGCUCAUGUUGUUCAACUAGCCCUGAUAGUUUCCUAAAACUUUGUUUAAUUUAAGAAGCUAUGUAAUGAUUCUAUUUUUGGUGUACAAGAUAUUGGCAUUAUGUUACACAUAGAUGUGUUUUGAAAGCUAAAUAAAAUUACAUAGCAACAUUUGGUCAA